ACUGCCUGAUGUUCCCUCCCUGGGCUGGAUGCCGACGCUGGGAGACUCGGAAGCCGCGUGUGGAAGAUGGCAGUGUGGGUGAGCAAGGAGAGAAGACACCCAUUGCUCCUGUCUACACCACAUCUAGAAGGCAGAGAAAGGAAAAAGUGUCUUAAAAAAGUAAUAAUAAGGACCCAGCAAGAGAGCACCCUAGCCAAUCAAUCGUGGAAGAAAAGGGUGUCGUUGAUUAAAGAAACUGCCCUUCACUCUAGCAACAGAAGAGGGAGCAGUUGAUCUGCACAACCAACAGGCCGCUCGGGCCUCUAGGCCUCCACUGCAUUGUCUGCUAUUGCCAGUCCGGGGAAACGCAACAGAAAUAACCACCACCAAUCACAAAGCAGAAAAGGAGAACCAUACUUUCCAGCAGAUGGCGCCACUUCGGAAAACAGUUUGGUGCGUCCUCAAAAAAUUAAACAUAUAAUUACCGUGACCCGGCAAUUCCACUCCUAGGUAUACCCAAGGCAAAUGAAAACAUGUCCACAUAGACACUUGUACAUCAAUGUUCCUAGCAAUAUUACUCCUUAAGAGCCAAAAGAUGGAAACCACUCAAACGCCCGUCAACUGAUGAAUUGGUGAACAUGUUGUGGUAUAUAUCGAUACAAGAGACUAUUUGCGGUAAAUAGGGAUGCAAUACUGAUUGAUACUACAACAUGGAUUAACUUUGAAAACAUUGCUGGGGCUCGGAAGCUGAUGCCCCGAAUUUGAUGCUUUGUACAUGCUGAACUGAAAAAGGAGCUUCAAGGUCUCUCUCCUCCCUCCUGCCCCAAAGCAUAGGCUUCUCUGACAUUCCCUUAUCUGUCUAAAGUCUGGGUCUAUGAAAGAAAAACAAUCACCUCCAGUCACUUCCCUGAGUUUUCAUUAACUGCACCCAUAUCUCAGAAAGGAAAACUAAAGUCGGUCAACACACCUGGACAGACUUUUGUCACAAACCAUUGUCUGCUCUGCAGGCCCAGCAGACUUUACCGCAGACCGUGGUGUGUUCUUCAAGCCCUUUGAAUCUUCCCUAGUCAUCAUUUAUUGCCCCUCCCCAGAAUUCCUCUUCUCCCGCUCCCAUAACUACGACCAGGGAAGAUUCAAAGGGCUAAAAAUACAAAAAUUAGCUGAGCGUGGUGGCACAUGCCUGUAAUCUCAGCUACUUGGGAGGCUGAGGCAUGAGAUUUGAUUGAACCCGUGAGAUGGAGAGGUUGCAGUAAGCCAAGAUUGCGCCGCUGAACUCCAGCCUGGGCAACAGAGCGAGACUCCAUCUCAAAAAACAAAUCAAAACAAAAACAAAAAACAGGUGAUUGUGUCAUGGGGGCUCUGCCUUUGUGAAUAGAUUAACCCAUUCAUGAACUGAUGGACUGGUGGGUUAAUGGAUUAAUGUGUUAUCACAGAGUGGAAUUGGUGGCUUUAUAAGAAGAGAAAGAGACAUGGGCCAGCAUGUUCAGCCCCCUCGCCAUGUGAUGCCCGGCACCACCUUGGGACUCUACAGAGUCCCCACCAGCAAGAAGCCCUCACCAGAUGCAGCCAUUCAACCUUGGAC
rnacentral:lncRNA from 1 species